GACGAACGCUGGCGGCGUGCUUAACACAUGCAAGUCGAACGAAGAGCGAUGGAAGCUUGCUUCUAUCAAUCUUAGUGGCGAACGGGUGAGUAACGCGUAAUCAACCUGCCCUUCAGAGGGGGACAACAGUUGGAAACGACUGCUAAUACCGCAUACGAUCUAAUCUCGGCAUCGAGGAAAGAUGAAAGGUGGCCUCUACAUGUAAGCUAUCACUGAAGGAGGGGAUUGCGUCUGAUUAGCUAGUUGGAGGGUAACGCCCACAAGGCGAUGAUCAGUAGCCGGUCUGAGAGGAUGAACGGCCACAUUGGGACUGAGACACGGCCCAG
rnacentral:rRNA from 1 species